rnacentral:rRNA from 1 species
UACGGAGGAUCCAAGCGUUAUCCGGAAUCAUUGGGUUUAAAGGGUCCGCAGGCGGCCUGUUAAGUCAGAGGUGAAAGCCAACAGCUCAACUGUUGAACUGCCUUUGAUACUGAUAGGCUUGAGUUAUUGUGAAGUGGUUAGAAUGUGUGGUGUAGCGGUGAAAUGCUUAGAUAUCACACAGAAUACCCAUUGCGAAGGCAGAUCACUAACAAUAUACUGACGCUCAUGGACGAAAGCGUGGGGAGCGAACAGG